AGCGAACGCUGGCGGCGUGCUUAACACAUGCAAGUCGAGCGAGAAAGGGGGCUUCGGCCCCUGAGUACAGCGGCGAACGGGUGCGUAAUACAUGAGCAAUCUACCCUUGAGGCGGGAAUAACCCAGCGAAAGUUGGGCUAAUACCGGAUAAGACCACAGGAGGAAACUCCAGAGGUCAAAGACAGCUCUCUUUUGGGGGCGGCCCUUUGAGGAGGAGCUUAUGUCCUAUCAGCUAGUUGGUGAGGUAACGGCUCACCGAGGCGAAGACGGGUAGCUGGUCUUAGAGGAUGAUCAGCCACACGGGGACUGAGACACGGCCCCGACUCCUACGGGAGGCAGCAGUGGGGAAUAUUGGACAAUGGGCGAAAGCCUGAUCCAGCAAUGCCGCGUGAGUGAAGAAGGCCUUCGGGUUGUAAAGCACUUUCAGUGGGGAGGAAAAGUUGCCGGCGAAUACCCGGCGACCGUGACGCUACCUGCAGAAGAAGCACCGGCAAACUCCGUGCCAGCAGCCGCGGUAAUACGGAGGGUGCGGGCGUUAAUCGGAAUUACUGGGCGUAAAGCGCGCGUAGGCGGCUUGUUAAGUCGGAUGUGAAAUCCCCGGGCUCAACCUGGGAACUGCAUCCGAUACUGGCUGGCUAGAGUGUGGUAGAGGGAAGUGGAAUUCCAGGUGUAGCGGUGAAAUGCGUAGAUAUCUGGGGGAACAUCAGUGGCGAAGGCGGCUUCCUGGACCAACACUGACGCUGAGGCGCGAAAGCGUGGGGAGCAAACAGGAUUAGAUACCCUGGUAGUCCACGCCGUAAACGAUGUCAACUAGCCGUAGGGAGCAUCUGGCUCUUUGUGGCGCAGCUAACGCGAUAAGUUGACCGCCUGGGGAGUACGGCCGCAAGGCUAAAACUCAAAUGAAUUGACGGGGGCCCGCACAAGCGGUGGAGCAUGUGGUUUAAUUCGAUGCAACGCGAAAAACCUUACCUGCCCUUGACAUGUCAGGAAUCUUUCAGAGAUGAGAGAGUGCCUUCGGGAACCUGAACACAGGUGCUGCAUGGCUGUCGUCAGCUCGUGUCGUGAGAUGUUGGGUUAAGUCCCGCAACGAGCGCAACCCUUGUCCUAUGUUGCCAGCACGUAAUGGUGGGGACUCGUAGGAGACCGCCGGGGUCAACUCGGAGGAAGGUGGGGACGACGUCAAGUCAUCAUGCCCCUUAUGUCCAGGGCUGCAAACAUGCUACAAUGGCCGGUACAAAGGGCUGCUAUCCCGCGAGGGUGAGCGAAUCCCAAAAAGCCGGUCUCAGUUCGGAUCGUAGUCUGCAACUCGACUGCGUGAAGCCGGAGUCGCUAGUAAUCCCGGAUCAGCUACGCCGGGGUGAAUACGUUCCCGGGCC
rnacentral:rRNA from 1 species